GCUGGACAUCGUGGCGGGUGCCUGUAAUCCCAGCUACUUGGAGGCUGAGGCAGGAGAAUCGCUUGAACCCAGGAGGUGGAGGUUGCAGUGAGCCGAGGUUGCACCAUUGCACUCCAGCCUGGGCGACAAGAGUGAAACUCUGUCUCAAAAAAAAAGAAAAAAUUUUUUUUAGAGACAGGGUCUUACUCUUGUCGCCCAGGCAGGAGUGCAAUGGUGUGAUCACAACUCACUGUAGCCUUGACCUGGGCUCAAGUGAUCCUCCCACCUUA
rnacentral:SRP_RNA from 1 species